rnacentral:rRNA from 1 species
GACGAACGCUGGCGACGCGCUUAACACAUGCAAGUCGAACGGAAAGGCCUGCUUUCCCUUGUGGAUUGCGGGUACUCGAGUGGCGAACGGGUGAGUAACACGUGAGUGAUCUGCCCCCAACUUGGGUAUAAGCCUGGGAAACUGGGUCUAAUUCCCGAUAGGACUGCAGGGUGGUGCCUGUGGUGGAAAACGAUUUUCUAGUGGUUGGGGAUGAGCUCGCGGCCUAUCAGCUUGUUGGUGGGGUAAUGGCCUACCAAGGCGGCGACGGGUAGCCGGCCUGAGAGGGUGGACGGCCACAGUGGGACUGGGCUACGGCCCAGACUCCUACGGGAGGCAGCAGUGGGGAAUAUUGCACAAUGGGCGGAAGCCUGAUGCAGCGACGCCGCGUGGGGGAUGACGGCCUUCGGGUUGUAAACUCCUUUCGACCGCGAGGAAGCCACCUGGUUGGAAGGGUGGUGACGGUAGUGGUAGAAGAAGCACCGGCUAACUACGUG